UUCUUCCAAAGCCUGUAUCCAAUUCGCUGGGAUUUCUGAUUUUUCCUUUGCUGUUCCCUCCCCCUCUGUUUUAUUCACUCUUUGCUCAUUACCUGUGCAGAAGCUGUCUAUUGUAAUUUCCUUCUUUUUCUGUUGUUUGCUCGAGUUUACCCCUUCUUUACUCCCUGUAUUUGGCUGUGCUCUUGCUCCUCUCAUUUUGUUUUGGUUUUGGGGCUGUCAGUCUCCCCUCUUGGAGCUUUGUCAGAUCUCUUGGUACAGUCUCUAGGGGAGGAAUGUUAGCUUCCCUGUCCUCUGGAGGCUUUUGCUUGGAUUGAAUUCAAGUGGGUUGGGCUGUAUGCGGUAUGAAACUGAGGCUCUGAAAACACCUGGAAGGCUGGGCCGCCCAGGCUCUCUCCAGUUCUCCCUAGCUGUUUCUCCACUAUCCACAAGUGCCUUUGCCCUCCUCCCUAAACUCUGAGGAGUUCUGAUUGAAUUGGCUGGAUUGAUCUGCUUAUGCCCCGAGGCAAAAGUGAGGCUGGAGCCCGAUGGAGGGACCCAGCCGAGGCCCCCUCUCUCCCUGGCUUCCUCCCUGCUGUCCAAGCUGGAUUCUCUGAGCACGGCGCCCCGCUGCUCACAAGGACCUGAACCUGCUCUUCACCCUCAACUGCUACCUGUAAAUACUCUUCAUACUACCUUGGAUCUGUGACCCAGAACUGGGAAGGGAGCAAAAGAGUUGGCAGCUGACAACCUUUCCAGCACUGUAUAGAGAAGGAAAAAAAUCAGUAUACUGAUACAUUGAAAAAGUCCAAAAAAUGUGCAGCAUAUAACACCUGUGAUCCUCCCACCUCCACUAAGGGUUACAGUGAUCAUGGCCAGACAUGAAGAGGAAAUGGAUCUCAUUUUUGGACAAGAUAUACACAAAAGAGCCAUUGCACAGGGCCAAAGAAAACCCAAAUCAGGAUGGAUUGAUGCACUUCUAGGCCAAUACAAAAGUCUUGAACCUAGUGUGAGGACUCGAGAAUUUUAGGUAAAGAAAGAUGAUACCUCUCUGAAUCCAGAAACUGAACUGUUGGAGAAGACACCAUGAAGAAGCCUCCAGACCACAAGCUGCACAAAAAUGAACUUUGGGUGUGGUUGAUUGAACAUUUAUUUGUAUGUAUACUCUUAUACCAAAGGGGACUGCCCCCUAACUGGCUUUUUGUCAAUGUGUCCAGCAGUUAUUGGGUUUUUUUUCUCUUAUCCUCAAAUUAUUGUAAUCUGUAAAAUUGAUUAUGUUUUUAUGAUCCUUUGGGGAAGUCCUUCUCCCCAGAGGAUUAAACGGAGGUAUGUAAAAAUAGACUCGAAUCCAGGACUUCAAUCCCCAGAAAUCCUUGCUCCACUUCCACAGAAUGCCCUCUAAUCUCACUGAAUUCUCACCUGGGCCAGGAGCAAGAUGGGGUAUUUAUACCUGGUUGUGAAGAGGCUCUGGCUCUUUUGGACUUCCAUUUUGGAGCAGACAUGUCUCUUUCAUGAUAUGAGGUUAUCUUGUCUGGGCCUCUCUGGCCUAGACAUGUGCUUUCUUAUUCUGUAUUUUCUUUAAUCCUUAACCUUUAAUAAACCUCAUAAAAAUAUAAUACUCCUUGCAGAGAGAAACAAAUUUCUUUCUAAGUCUCCCCUAAAUUAGUAACUGUUACAGUUUUUACACCAAUUGAUAAGAUCAUUCUUUACAUGCCUAAUGAAGCAGACUAAAUAACUCAGACCCAUAUAUAUAUAUAUAAUAACCCUUCAUACCUAAGUAAGUGGUCUGAAGGAGUUGGCCUCACUAAUAUCUUUUUCUCUAUUCCUAUGUGUAGCAUCCCAUGUAUAUUCUCAUGUUGAAAGUAUUAUUAAUGUAUUGAUAUUGUAACCUAAGUGCUCAUAUACCAGACACAUGGUCAUGUGACUUAUUGAUCAUUGUAUUUCCAUAUCUUUAUUCCAAAGGUCAAAAGAAUUCCUGGGCAGGACAUUAGCUGGCACAGGGUACUAGUUACCUCCUUGUUAGACCACAUUCCUUACCAAGUCACAUGUUUGAUUAACCUCCUCCUCUAUGAUUACGUGAUUGUCAAUUGAACCAAUGUUAAAUCCUAUGCCAUGUUACAUUCAUUAGUUACCUACAAUAAAAGAUUGGGACCAUGUGCAGCUCACUCUCUCUCAUGACCAUCACCUGAAGAGCUGCUGGA